UUGUGCAAUUAAUGCGAUUCCUCAAGGCAGUUAUGAAUGAUCACCUUCAACUUGCAUAAUAGAAAUAAACAGGCAAAUGUGACGCGCAUGCUCAUACACAGCCAUAUGUAAGGACCGCCUCUGUCCCUUUAAGACGCCACGCUGCUCACUCUCUCAAGCAAAGGGAGUGUGUGCACGAGCUGGAAGCGCAUAGACUUUCACUUUUCACGGACUAUUCCCUCCACGCCCACAAACUUCUCCCAAUGUGUGGACACUCCAUGCCCACACGCCACACACAUAUGAUACACGGAGCUCAUCACAAUAGACGAAGACUCACCUUUGUCGACAUCGCUGUCAUCCUGCCGCUGACACACAAGCCAAACGAAGCACUUCCGGGUGAACAUUAAGAAGCGCAAAUUGGCGCGCUUGUAAUGGGCAUUUCGGACCUGCUGAAGAAGAACUGGGAGGUGCUUUGCUGGAUAGCCAUAGAUUGCAAGAUACAGAAGGCGUGGGAUGACCAACACGCCAGGCACCGAGAGCUCGUCUCCAGGGAGAAGGUCCUGCUGCUUCUGCCAAGCUCACACUCAACAUACCCAUCUUAAAAAAGCAUGGAAACGGACUCGCGCCAACAUGCCAUGGCUGAGACGGACGUACCUGAGAUUGAGUAAAAAAAAAAAAAGGUUUUCCUCUCAUUCCGUGUGGAAGUGGUAAGUUUAUGGCUUCUUUGUCCUUCUUUCGACUAUGUUUGAAACACUUUCAACAUGUAAGCUUGUCCAUGCUUUUCAAAUCCCCACCUGCUGUGGAGCGCUU